UUAACAGUUGCCGCACAAAGAUAUCCUGUACUCCUUGUAGCGUCAAAUUCUUUAUUGCAAUCUUCAACCUCUUCUGCUUGAGUUGGGUCAGAAUUUACUCCUAGAACAGGAAUGGAAUCAUCCAUAAAAUGGCUUGCCUGCAGUAACGUACCAUCUCCCCCUAUGGUAACUACUAAAUCUACAUCACGGAUCGGCCGACAUAGAUUAAAACGAUAAACAGCUUCCCAAUCGACAUGCUUUUUCCUCAAAAUAUUUUGACAGAAGUUAAUAGCCUCCAUAUGAACCAGAGAUCUACUCGGAUCGGCCGACAUAGAUUAAA
rnacentral:misc_RNA from 1 species